GGGGUUGUGGCUCAAUGGUUGAGCACUUGCCUUACAUGCAAGGCACUGGGUUUGAUCCUCAGCACCACA
rnacentral:tRNA from 1 species